AUGAACCCCUCCUUGGCUCCGGGUCCAGAUGGUUUGUCGGUCUCAUUCUUCAAAACUUUCUGGCAAACUAUCAAACCAGAGGUCAUGGCCCUCUUCGACGAAUUCUUCACUGGGACCAUGGACCUUGGGAGGCUGAACUAUGGGAUCAUUACCCUCAUCCCUAAGGUUCCGGGCGCCUCCGACAUUCGCCAAUUCCGCCCGAUCAUGGUGAUCAACGUGAUCUUCAGGAUAUUGGCUAAAGGGUGCGCCAAUAGGGUGACCCUUCUUGCAGACUCUGUCACCCACCCCAACCAAUCCGCCUUCAUCCAAGGCCGGUUUAUUUUGGAUGGGGUGCUGGUCUUUCACGAGGUCCUUCAUGAAGUCCGCUCUAAACACCACCGCGCAGUCUUCCUGAAGCUAGAAUUCCACAAAGCCAACGACACUGUCCACUGGCCCUUCCUUCGGGAAGUGCUGCUUCGUAAGGGAUUCGACGACCAUUGGGUGACCCGCGUUAUGUAG
rnacentral:rRNA from 1 species